rnacentral:rRNA from 1 species
GUAGGGAAUAUUGGACAAUGGGGGGAACCCUGAUCCAGCCAUGCCGCGUGGAGGAAGACUGCCCUCUGGGUUGUAAACUCCUUUUAUAUGGGAAGAACCGUCCUCAUUAAUGAGUGACCUGACGGUACCAUAGGAAUAAGCACCGGCUAACUCCGUGCCAGCAGCCGCGGUAAUACGGAGGGUGCAAGCGUUAUCCGGAUUCACUGGGUUUAAAGGGUGCGUAGGCGGAUAAAUAAGUCAGUGGUGAAAUCAACGGGCUCAACCUGUUAACUGCCAUUGAUACUGUGUAUCUUGAAUAUGAGAGAGGUAGGCUGAAUGUUGCAUGUAGCGGUGAAAUGCUUAGAUAUGCUACGGAACACCGAUUGCGAAGGCAGCUUACUAUUUCGUAAUUGACGCUGAGGCACGAAAGCGUGGGUAGCGAACAGGAUUAGAAACCCCUGUAGUCC